CGUGUAAUUUUCUAUUUGUGUAAAUAAACCAGCUGUCAUUUGACAUUUUUGAGUUCUUCCCGCUGUUGUUGUACAACUUUUCACACCCUGUUUGAAUUCAUGUCUGGAAACAUGUUUUACAAUCGUUUUUGUAGAGUAUUUUUACUUUUCAGUCUUCUUUCUAUACUUGUUCCGUGGAGUCGCAAAAAUUCCUAUAGUUGUUCGAAAUAAAUAACAAAAAGGCAAAUAAUAAAAAGAAAAAAAUAAAUAUCAGUGUGAAAAUUGGAAAAAAAAGCUAAAUAAAUCUAAAGCAUUCAGUUACAAAAAAGAAGUUUGUAGUUUUGGGUUAAAAAAAAGUGAGUGUUUAAAUCGUUUAUUUAAUAAGAUUUUGUGAAAAAAAAAUCUAACAAAAAAAAGGUGAUCAUCAUCUCUAUAAUAAGAAAAUUUUACAUAUAGAAAAAUUUACAAAGAAAAAGAAGUAAAGAAACCCCCUCAAACACCAACUGGAAUUUGAGUUUUUGUGUGAAAAAAAAUUCUUAAAGAAAACAAGUGUAUUGUGUGUUAAUUAUCAAAUUUAGAAUAAAUUUUUAGUAAAAAAAUCCCGCGGCUGUUAACAUCUUUUGGAGUAACAACAAUAAAAACAAAAACAACAACUUCAGUAUACCCAUACAAAAAGCAAGGAUUAUAAACAAAACAAAAACGAGAAUAAAAAACAUCAACAGCAAAAACAACAACAACAUUGUUAUAAAAAAGAUCUUUUUUUUCAGCCCCCAAAAUCAACAGGAGAGUUAAAUACUACUACUGCAGCAAACAACAACAAAGCUAUCAAAACUAAAAAAAACAAAAACAAUAUAAACAUCAAAAUAAAACCUUACAAAAACAAAAAAAAAAAAAGAAAAAGUCAAAUUGCAAAAACAAAAAAUAACAAUAACGACAAGAGAAGUAGUAAUUACAGCAAAUUAAAAAUUAUUUGCGUCGUUUCUUUAUUCUGGACAAUUCGUUUGGUGUUAUUGGAAAAUUUAUUAGAUUUAUUUCUUAAUUAAAUUAAAGAAAAGAACAAUUUAAAUCACAGUUU